UACGUAGGUGGCAAGCGUUGUCCGGAAUUAUUGGGCGUAAAGCGCGCGCAGGUGGUCUUUUAAGUCUGAUGUGAAAGCCCCCGGCUCAACCGUGGAAGGUCAUUGGAAACUGCUAAACUUGAGUGCAGGAGAGAAAAGUGGAAUUCCUAGUGUAGCGGCGAAAUGCGUAGAGAUUAGGAGGAACACCAGUGGCGAAGGCGGCUUUUUGGCCUGCAACUGACACUGAGGCGCGAAAGCGUGGGGAGCAAACAGG
rnacentral:rRNA from 1 species